GAAUAAUCCUGUAAAGGUUGAAUUCUGUUUUUACUAGAUGUUAUCCCUACUCUUAGGUAGGGUAGAGAGGAAACUUUUGUUCAAAUUAAUUUUUCACAUUUUCAAGAUUAUAGGGUGGUAGAGUUAACAUGUACUUAAUUGUUGAGUAAAUGAAGCAUGAGUGGUAAAAAACAGCCAUUGCUAUCCAUGAGGCGCCCCCACCUCCAGCCUCUCCACACCCUACUCUCCCCCACAGAUCUAAUGUUGAUAGCCUCAAAUUGACUGCUGAGAGAGAAAAUCCAGACUGGGAAUUUAGGGUGAAAUUGACUUUUAACUGAAGAAAAUGUCAGAGUGAAGUGACCAGAUUCAACUACAUUCCAUGUAGGUAACUACACAGAGAGAGAAAUGUUGUGCAUUGGAAAUAAAAGACAAUUUGACCUACCCACAGCUUGUUUUUCAAGAAGUAGGUACAUAUUUUUACUUUUCAGUUUGUU
rnacentral:lncRNA from 1 species